rnacentral:lncRNA from 1 species
CAGCGCUCUAGCCUGAUGCAGCCAAUCCCAGAGGAGACCCGCAAGACCCCUUCUGCGGCAGCAGAGGACAAACGGUGGUCCAGGCCUGAAUGCCAGCUAUGGACGGGGAUGUUGCUCCUGGGCACCUGCUUGCUGUACUGCACGCGUGUCACCAUGCCUGUCUGUACCGUUGCCAUGAGCCAGGACUUCGGCUGGAACAAGAAGGAGGCUGGUAUCGUGCUCAGCAGCUUCUUCUGGGGCUACUGCCUGACUCAGGUGGUGGGCGGCCACCUUGGGGAUCGGUAACCAACCCCCUAUCCCCAUUUCUCAGGCUUGAGGGGGAACAUUACCAUCACUUGACACAGUAUGGUCUGUCCCGCCCUUGCACACAGUAGAGGAGGG